rnacentral:lncRNA from 1 species
UUUAGGUCAAAAUAUUUAAAUGUUUUAAAACAUCAAUAAUAAGAGGAUAUGUUUUUUACCAUAUCCUCUGUAAACCUGUAGUCUAAACUUACAGGUUUUAGCAAAACCUUCACAAGAAGGAACUGGGCAAUUAAAAGAUGUUAAUGCAUACACACUCUGAAAAUAAGAAAAAAAAAGUGAGGGGUGUUGGCCACUUAUUCUUUUUAGCACAAAAACACCUCUCUUCCACUUCCCUAUGUUUAUGUCCCUAUGUUUAUGCUUUGGUGAGCACUUACAUCCACUUACAUCAUUAUAACAAUAACCUCAAUUUGCUAACUUUAUGUAAGAUUUACUUCAAAGGAAUUCUUGGAGCUUGGCAUACAUUAGUUUAUUCAUUUUUGUAGCAUCUUUAUACAUAGGCAUAUGCCUAGCAUCUUAUCGUUAUAAUACAAAAUUAAAAACGGAUGUACUAGGAGAUGAAUCUACUUGCCUAAAGUUGAUAAAAAUCACUUAAUUAUUAUUAGCUUAUGAAACUUGACUUCGAAGUCAUGUCUUCUCUUAGUACAGUAGAGUUUUUUCCCACUACAUUGAUUUCUUUUGCAUAAAUUUAAAAAGUCACAGUGGACAGCUGGGCAGGAAGGACUGACUACCUGGGCAAACUCCAAGAUUUUUCGAGGUUGGGUUAACCUGACCCAGCAGUAGCUCUAAGACUUGGGAGAAAAGGAAUCCAAGCUGAAAGAACUAUGCAUGUAUUUUGACAUUCCAUAGGUAAUGUGUAAAUUACUGUUAACAGGUCAGUAAGUGAAAUUGGGUAAGAAAAGAUAUGAAACAUAAGUGUUUCAUAAUAAACUUCUUUCCUUAUUAGCUUCGCUGGAAACUCCCACUCUGCCCCUGAGCUGUGUGUUCAAGCCUUGGAGCAAACCCUCCAUCUGAACUCUCCCCCGUGUUGUUUGGACUGCCCAUGUAGGUGCUGGAGAUGAGGUGGCUUUGUGUGAGGAGACUGCAGAUGUGUGGCAGGGAACACUCGAGGCCCACAGAACAUUUGCAAUUUGUCCGAGACCAGAGAGAGAGAAUAAGGACCUCGGCCGCCUUCCUACCUGCGCAACAGGGCCCUCCCCAGAUGCCGCGCUGCUCAGUUCCACGCUGCCCCACGGAGCAAGCGGACUGGACGCACUGGCUCAUUCAGCACAAACGUGCCAGGAACCUACCUACCAUGCUAAGCCCUGGAUACAAGGCAAAUGCUCUUCUGCUAAAAAAUGUGAGGUCCCUUCCUCCCCUCUAA